rnacentral:rRNA from 21 species
ACACAGUCGGUGCGAAGUCGAAACAAGGUAGUUGAUGGUGAACCAGUGGCUGAACAAAAAA